UCCGGUCACGUGGGAAGAAACCCGGAAGUAUCGCCGUGAAUCACAUGAGAGUUGCAAAUGCGAUGUUGUGUAUUAGGCUGUACAUCAUAUUAACGUAAAGAGAGUGAUAAUAUAUAUCCUUUCAUCUAUUCCCGAGUGACUCAAAGGGAUAUUGGACCUUAUUUUCAGUGUCUGUGAUGUUGAAACACUAAAGGAAGAAGAGGAGGACCACCAUUUGUUUCCUGAUCAGAACACAAGAGAAGAAUCUAACAGUGGUUUGGGGGCAUUGCAAGACCAUGAUUACCACAUCUCCUAUUAUGGAAGAGCACAACAUCAUGCUCGCAACAUUUGUGUCCUGGAUCAGUUUUUCUUGUUUCUCUGCUGUAUAAGGCAGGGGCUUCUUUCCGCAGAUUUAGCUGUAAGAUUUAAAGGUCCCGUUUUUCCUGAUCCCAUUUUUUAAACUUUAGUUAGUGUGUAAUGUUGC